rnacentral:tRNA from 1 species
GCCUGGGUGGCUCAGUGGUUGAGCAUCUGCCUUUGGCUCAGGUCAUGAUCCCAGGGUCCUAGAUUAAAGUCCUGCCUCAGGCU